CGCAUCCAGGCGGGUACCUAGGGCCCAGGCUCCUCCGGCCCAGCGGGGAAACACGGAAGUGGAGCUGUGAACCCGGGUCGGGGUUGGGGGGGUACGUGGCGAACUAGCGGGGGGUCGAGCGAGCGAGGUCUCUUCUGCCCAAUGAAUUUGACGACACGGGGACACGGGGACACCGGUCCCGUGGGCUAGGACCGCGCCGCAGCGGACGUAAUAUCCCUCGCCCCAAGCUGCGGUUCCUGUUUUGCGCCUUGGCCGUGCCGAACUCCAACCUCACCCGCCCCGCCUUGCCAGCUGGCUGGCAGACGGGAAAGCCAGGGCUGAGCUAGGCCGGGGAAGCCGGUGGAGGUGUCGGAUUUCCUGUCCCCUCCCCACGCGGGCCACCCACGCCAUCUGCCCGAGAGAGGGGAGACACUCGUCCGCCCGCAGGCCGGCAGAGCUGGCUUACCUGAUUUCUCGUCGCCCGCCCCCAGAUCUGGCUUCCCCUACUCGGCACCGCCCGGCCCUCCUGUGUCUGCUUUCCCCCAAGUCCUCAUCACCUUGCUAGCUACAAAGCCCACAGGGAUCUUUUUAUCAAUAACCCAUGGCCAUCUGUCAGACCUCCAUCUGACUUGGAUAUGGGAGAAGGUAGAGUAAAAAGCAUAGGACAUGAUUUUACUUGCCAAAGUAAGGGCCUGAAGAAACAACAGAAAGCAGAAGGAAGGUAAACAUCCAGUGGGAAUCCAGAAGACUACAGAAGAAAAAAUAUUUGUAUAGAGAACUGGUAAAGGAGAAGAGUCGAGGUUGUUAAUCUGAUCAGCCUGCAACUGAGACUGAAAUUCUUUUCCAAAAUUACACAUCUCUGCUGUGCAUUUCCCGGCUCUCCAUAUACACAUCUCAUCUCAAUUAUUGCCUUGAAUAAAAUAAAUUAAAUAAGAAAUUGUUAUAUAGGAGAUUCUUUUAUUUACUGGAUAAAAACAUUGCUGGCUAGUAAUUAUCCUGAGCAUAAUUUGUUUAGAGCAUAUAGAAAUGUUAAUGUUUUAAAAAUGAAAUACUAGAUAAUUUUAAAUUGUGUAGAUUUAUAAUUCUGCUUUAAGAUCCCACAGAAACUUAUAAAAAUAGUAUUCUCUAUUUACUCCGUCAGUGUUUUCUAAUUGGAAUAAAACAUAAAAACACA